GAUGAACGCUAGCGAUAGGCUUAACACAUGCAAGUCGAGGGGCAGCAUGAUCUUAGCUUGCUAAGGUCGAUGGCGACCGGCGCACGGGUGCGUAACGCGUAUGCAACUUGCCUUACAGAGGGGGAUAACCCGUUGAAAGACGGACUAAAACCGCAUACACUUGUAUUAUUGCAUGAUAUUACAAGGAAAUAUUUAUAGCUGUAAGAUAGGCAUGCGUCCCAUUAGCUGGUUGGUGAGGUAACGGCUCACCAAGGCGACGAUGGGUAGGGGAACUGAGAGGUUUAUCCCCCACACUGGUACUGAGGCACGGACCAGACUCCUACGGGAGGCAGCAGUGAGGAAUAUUGGUCAAUGGGCGAGAGCCUGAACCAGCCAAGUCGCGUGAAGGAAGACAGUCCUAAGGAUUGUAAACUUCUUUUAUACGGGAAUAACGGGCGAUACGAGUAUUGCAUUGAAUGUACCGUAAGAAUAAGCCAUC
rnacentral:rRNA from 1 species